GUUUGUCUCAAUCCGAAAGGUGGACGAUUCCCCGGGGGAGACAUCUACGGCGGCGACGGCGACGCCAUCUCCGGCGAGGCCCACAAACUGGCGGUUGAAAACCCUCAAAUUGAAGCUCGUCUGGUUCACCCUCCAUAGCUGCAGUCGAAGAGGGCAGUGUCCGAUUGGCGACGAGAAUGGAGCCUCCACCCAGCUCUGCAGAUACAUACUUGUUGCUUUUGAAGACCUUGAAAUGGAGCUGUGUGCCAUCCAAGAAAUCCUUGUUGAUGGGGAUGGAGUCGAAGAGGGAGGGUUUGAUCCAUCCCUCAGUCACCAGCCACCCUCCCAGGCUCACUGCACGAACCUGAAUAUUAGGAACAUCAUCAUCGUCGUCGUGAUCACCUGCAGAUCUUCUUGUUCUUGUUCCUGCUGCUGCUGCAAAAUUGGAGAAACUGCUGCUGCUGCUGCUACAGAAGGAUAGUAUCAUCAACAACAACACUGGAAAUCAAGAUGAAACAACAAGGACAAAAGAACACAAGAAUUUGGUAACCCAGUUCGAUCACGAUGAUCUACGUCUGGGGGCGCUGCCAAGCCAGGAAUUUUACUAUCAAGUACGCAGGCACAUGUUAAAGUGAGAAUACAUGGAUAUUUAUAGCCUAAGCCUUUGACAAUAAUAUCCAAAUCAUAUCUCUAAAAUCUAAAAUAUAAUAUCCAAAUCAUAUCCCUAGAUUUUAGGAUAUAAUCAGGCUUCAUAUCCCAACAUAU